rnacentral:misc_RNA from 1 species
GAACGCACAUUGCGCCCGCCAGUAUUCUGGCGGGCAUGCCUGUUCGAGCGUCAUUUCAACCCUCAUGCCCCCAGUGCCUGGCGUUGGGGAUCGGCGCGGCGCCCUCCGGGGCGCUGCCGGCCCCGAAAUUCAGUGGCGGUCUCGCUGUAGCCCUCCUCCGCGUAGUAGCACAACCUCGCGGCCUGGAGCUCGGCGGUGGCCAUGCCGUAAAACACCCCACUUCUGAAAGUUGACCUCGGAUCAGGUAGGAAUACCCGCUGAACUUAAG